rnacentral:lncRNA from 1 species
GUUUGUAUUUAUCGCUGUAGAGUUUCUAUUUACUAUAUAGAGUUUGUGUUUAUUAUAUAGAGUUUGUGUUUAUUAUGGACCAGUUGGUAUUUAUUUUAUCAUGGGUGCAUAAAGGGCAGAGAGUAAUCUGAGAUAGUUUAUAUUUAUUCUGAUCCUAUACAUGUUUAUUAUUUGGAGUUUAUAUUUAUCCUCAGAUAGUUUGUGUUUAUCUCAGCAAAAGUUAAAGUUUAUCCUUUUCUCUUAUUAUUUAUCAUGGGAGGAGCC